rnacentral:lncRNA from 1 species
UGUAGAGACUGGGCGGAAGCUGCAUGUGAUCCCUCGAGCCAAGAAGGGCACCCAGGGGCAGCCUUCAGGCCACAGCAGCCAUAUCCUGUGCAUGGCCAUCUCCUCUGAUGGCAAGUACCUCGCCUCUGGAGACCGGAGCAAGCUCAUUCUGAUAUGGGAGGCCCAGAGCUGCCAGCACCUGUACACCUUCACGGGACACCGGGACGCUGUGUCGGUGAGGAUCUGGAUAUUGACCACCUGCCUAGCAUGGGAUGCUUGCUCAGUGUGCCCACCGGGCCCCAGGCCCCAGGCUUGUCUGCAGAGGUCUCUCUGGGUAGUGAGUGGUGUGUGAAAGACACGAGUGUGCUGAAGAGAUGGGAAGGAUGGAGACCGUGGUCAGCUGAUAUCAGGGCCACGGAGGGCCUGAGGGUAGGUAGCUGUCUGGGGACAGGCACGAGUGUUCCUGGAUUCACACGGGGUUAUAUGGUACUCAGAGUGCUCUGGGGGAGCAGGAUCCUAGGUCAUGUGAUUUACUUUCAGGAGAGCCUCUCUGGGCCUGCCCUCCGCAGUCCAUGCCCUUUGACCCCUCUCGGUUCCCUCUAGGGACUGGCCUUCCGAAGAGGUACCCACCAGCUCUACAGCACUUCCCACGACCGCUCUGUGAAGGUGUGGAAUGCAGCCGAGAACUCCUAUGUGGAGACACUGUUCGGGCACCAGGAUGCUGUGGCUGCAUUGGACGCCUUGAGCCGAGAGUG